rnacentral:miRNA from 1 species
UCUUCGUGUUCCAUUACUCUUAC